AUGAACGCUAGCGGCAGGCCUAAUACAUGCAAGUCGAACGAUACCAAGAGGCUUGCUUCUUGGAAAAGUGGCGCACGGGUGCGUAACGCGUAUGCAACCUACCUUAAUCAGGGGUAUAGCCCGAAGAAAUUCGGAUUAACACCGCAUAAAAACACAGAAUAGCAUUAUUCAAUGUUCAAAUAUUUAUAGGAUUAAGAUGGGCAUGCGUGUCAUUAGCUAGUUGGCGGGGUAACGGCCCACCAAGGCGACGAUGACUAGGGGAUCUGAGAGGAUGACCCCCCACACUGGUACUGAGACACGGACCAGACUCCUACGGGAGGCAGCAGUAAGGAAUAUUGGUCAAUGGAGGCAACUCUGAACCAGCCAUGCCGCGUGCAGGAAGACGGCCCUAUGGGUUGUAAACUGCUUUUAUCCGGGAAUAAACCUCUGCUCGUGAGCAGAGCUGAAUGUACCGGAAGAAUAAGGAUCGGCUAACUCCGU
rnacentral:rRNA from 1 species